rnacentral:ncRNA from 1 species
UCCUACCUUGUAAAGUUUAGCCAACAGCAAGUACUGAGUCCUUGGAGCCAAAGUGGUAACAUUAGGUUUAAGCGUAGGAUAGGGAACAUACGAGCCGUAAUGCGAAAGCUGUGAAACUGUUGUAGCCUCGUUAGAAAUAUAGAGUGGUAGCUGAUACUCUCACCUAAGUAGCAAGCAGCAAUAUUAAAUCGAAAUGGCAAGAUUUAAUAGGUACCACCGGUGUU